rnacentral:tRNA from 1 species
GGGAUAGAAGCUCAGUGGUUGAGCAAUCGAUUGCAGCUUUCUGCGUAGGUUAGAUUACGCAGUAAUUACAUAAGCAUCGAUAGGCCGCGUGUUCGAUCCACGCCUGUCCCU